rnacentral:rRNA from 1 species
CCUACGGGAGGCAGCAGUGAGGAAUAUUGGUCAAUGGGCGCGGGCCUGAACCAGCCAAGUAGCGUGAAGGAUGACUGCACUAUGGGUUGUAAACUUCUUUUAUCAAGGCAUAAAGUGAGGUACGUGUGCCUUUUUGUAUGUACUUUAUGAAUAAGGAUCGGCUAACUCCGUGCCAGCAGCCGCGGUAAUACGGAGGAUCCGAGCGUUAUCCGGAUUUAUUGGGUUUAAAGGGAGCGUAGAUGGGUUGUUAAGUUAGUGGUGAAAGUUUGCGGCUUAACCGUAAAAUUGCAAUUGAUACUGGCAGUCUUGAGUACAGUUGAGGUAGGCGGAAUGCGUGGUGUAGCGGUGAAAUGCUUAGAUAUCACGAAGAACUCCGAUUGCGAAGGCAGCUUACUAAUCUGCCUCUGACAUUGAUGCUCGAAAGUGUGGGUAUCAAACAGGAUUAGAUACCCUUGUAGUC